rnacentral:rRNA from 1 species
AUUGAACGCUGGCGGAAUGCUUUACACAUGCAAGUCGAACGGCAGCACGGGGGCAGCCCUGGUGGCGAGUGGCGAACGGGCGAGUAAUACAUCGGAACGUGCCCGGUCGUGGGGGAUAACGUAGCGAAAGUUACGCUAAUACCGCAUACGAUCUGAGGAUGAAAGCGGGGGACCUUCGGGCCUCGCGCGAUCGGAGCGGCCGAUGUCAGAUUAGGUAGUUGGUGGAGUAAAGGCCUACCAAGCCGACGAUCUGUAGCUGGUCUGAGAGGACGACCAGCCACACUGGGACUGAGACACGGCCCAGACUCCUACGGGAGGCAGCAGUGGGGAAUUUUGGACAAUGGGCGCAAGCCUGAUCCAGCCAUUCCGCGUGCAGGACGAAGGCCUUCGGGUUGUAAACUGCUUUUGUACGGAACGAAAAGGCUCUGGCUAAUACCUGGGGCUCAUGACGGUACCGUAAGAAUAAGCACCGGCUAACUACGU